CAUUAAGUUGUCCAAGCUGGGCUUGAACUUGUGAUCCUCCUGCCUCAGCCUCCUGGGUAGCUGGGACGACAGGCCAAGAGCGACACAUGGUUAAGGAGUUUUCUCAUAGCUGUCACCAAUGGAAACAUCACACACAGCAGAUCCUGCUUUCAUGAGGGGAUGUUGAUCAUGCCCAUGAAAGAGAAGAAGAAAUGGGUUCCCCAGUCAGAUAGAACAGAGACCACAGAGCUGCCUCUCAGACCCAUCCGUGACAUGUGAAAUGAAUAAGAUCACCCUUCCAAGGCUGUGGCAAAGACUCAGUGGAACAAACACCUGUCCAGAGCUCAGCACCUAGCAGUUAACUAUGAUUCAUUCCAAGAGCUGGUGAGAUUAUUACACACUGGCUCCUGCCAUGUUGCUUAAUAAAAGCACAUUAGCAUUGUGCUUGAUUCCUGCUCUUA